UAGUCCACGCCGUAAACGAUGAGAACUAGAUGUUGGGGGGUUGCCCUUCGGUGAUGCAGCUAACGCAUUAAACAUUCCGCCUGGGGAGUACGGUCGCAGGAUUAAAACUCAAAGGAAUAGACGGGGACCCGCACAAGUGGUGGAGCAUGUGGUUUAAUUCGAAGAUACGCGAAGAACCUUACCUAGCCUUGACAUAUUUUAGAACACUUUAGAGAUAGAGUGGUGCCUUCGGGAGCUAAUAUACAGGUGCUGCACGGCUGUCGUCAGCUCGUGUCGUGAGAUGUUGGGUUAAGUCCCGCAACGAGCGCAACCCUCACCAAUAUUUGCCAGCAUUUCGGAUGGGAACUAUAUUGGAACUGCCCGUGACAAGCGGGAGGAAGGCGGGGAUGACGUCAAAUCAGCACGGCCCUUAUGGACUGGGCCACACACGUGCUACAAUGGAGACUACAAUGGGCUGCUACCUGGCGACAGGAUGCUAAUCUCAAAAAGUCUUCUCAAUCCGGAUUGG
rnacentral:rRNA from 1 species